AAUUCGAUGGUACGCGAGGAACCUUACCAGGGCUUGACAUACGUUGGAAGCGUCCCGAAAGGGGCGUGCCGCUUGCGGCCGGCGUACAGGUGCUGCAUGGCUGUCGUCAGCUCGUGCUGUGAAGUGUUGGGUUAAGUCCCGCAACGAGCGCAACCCCUGCUGCCUGUUGCCACCACGAAAGGUGGGGACUCAGGCGGAACUGCCGGUGACAAACCGGAGGAAGGUGGGGACGACGUCAAGCCAUCAUGGCCCUUAUGUCCUGGGCUACACACGUGCUACAAUGGCCGGUACAGAGCGCAGCGAGGCCGCGAGGCGGAGCGAAUCGCUUAAAGCCGGUCCCAGUACGGAUUGGAGUCUGCAACCCGACUCCAUGAAGUUGGAAUCGCUAGUAAUCGCGCAUCAGCAUG
rnacentral:rRNA from 1 species